rnacentral:misc_RNA from 2 species
UAAUCUCACCUUCCAACUCUUUGUUGGCAUGUUGUGGAUUUGGAUGUUGCCGUGUUGCAAUGGCUCAUCUGAAAUGCCUGAGUACAUCCUGGAUUGUGAUGUGUUCGGUGUGAUAAGCUUUCACCGUCAUCGACCCCAGUAGUCGCACUCACUCUUACCCAAGGCUCUGUGCUUCCAAUCGUCUUAAUCAGACAAUUUUGACA